GCCCGCUUGGCUCAGUGGUAGAGCGUAUCACUAGUAAUGAUAAGGUCAUCAGUUCGAUUCUGAUAGUGGGCA
rfam:Podospora anserina genomic DNA, chromosome 5.